rnacentral:rRNA from 1 species
AUUGAACGCUGGCGGCAGGCCUAACACAUGCAAGUCGAACGAGUGGCGGACGGGUGAGUAAUGUCUGGGAAACUGCCCGAUGGAGGGGGAUAACUACUGGAAACGGUAGCUAAUACCGCAUACCAUCGGAUUUGCCCAGAUGGGAUUAGCUUGUAGGUGAGGUAACGGCUCACCUAGGCGACGAGCCCUAGUUGGGCUGAGAGGAUGACCAGCCAAACGGGCACGGAGACACGGUCAAGACUUCUACGGUAGGCAGCAGUGGGGAAUAUUGCACAAGGGGCGCAGGGCUGAUGCAGCCAUGACGCUUGUAUGAAGAAGGCCUUCGGGUUGUAAAGGACUUUCAGCGGGGAGGCGUGACACGCAGAAGAAGAACCGGCUAACUCCGUGCCAGAAGACGCGGUAAUUC